rnacentral:lncRNA from 1 species
AAUAUUACUAUAAUAAUCCCAAAUUAACGUACUGAUACAUAUAUGAAUCAUUAAAUGUCUCAUGUAAUUCCAGCAAAUUUACACUGCAUUCGGUUUCAGUUUUUGGCUUGAUCUGAAUCUGUAUCCGUAUCGCUUGGCUACAAUCAGUUUGGUAACCGUUUAAUUGGCCGACAAUGGAGCUGUUUGGUCCCCGGAAAAAUGUCAAGCGUGGAAUGCCGGGUAAAUGCGGCGGCUAAUCAGAGACCGUGGCCACAAAGACAGCCGUUUGGAGUGGAGGCCAGGGCCCCAUGAACAUGGACCCAUGAUCGAUUGCAGUCACCUCAACGCGAGGUGACAGUCACCGUCCGUGUCGCAGUUGACACACAGGCCACAAUCGACAGUCGACUGGGCGAGGCACUUGCGAUAUUCCACAUCCACAUCGAUUUCCAUUUCAAAUGGUAGCAAUUACAAAAGGCGACCCCCGAACUAUUUGACACUGUUUGCCGCUGAAUGUUGAUUAAUUAGAUCGAAGUGGACUGGCUUGGAUUGGAUACGAUUGGAUUGGAUUGGAUUGGCCAAGAUGGCGGGGGACUCUUCUCCCUACGAGAUUAGCGCAUCUGGAGAGGAUGGGCCCCCAAGAUAAAG